rnacentral:rRNA from 1 species
UACAGAGGUCCCGAGCGUUGUUCGGAUUCACUGGGCGUAAAGGGUGCGUAGGUGGUUGUGCAAGUCUGAUGUGAAAGCCCCGGGCUCAACCUGGGAACUGCGUCCGAUACUGGUUGGCUUGAAUCCGGGAGAGGGAUGUGGAAUUCCAGGUGUAGCGGUGAAAUGCGUAGAUAUCUGGAGGAACACCGGUGGCGAAGGCGACAUCCUGGACCGGUAUUGACGCUGAGGCGUGAAAGCCAGGGGAGCAAACGGG